rnacentral:rRNA from 1 species
GAUGAACGCUGGCGGCGUGCCUAAUACAUGCAAGUCGAGCGAACAGACGAGGAGCUUGCUCCUCUGACGUUAGCGGCGGACGGGUGAGUAACACGUGGAUAACCUACCUAUAAGACUGGGAUAACUUCGGGAAACCGGCGCUAAUACCGGAUAAUAUAUUGAACCGCAUGGUUCAAUAGUGAAAGACGGUUUUGCUGUCACUUAUAGAUGGUUCCGCGCCGCAUUAGCUAGUUGGUAAGGUAACGGCUUACCAAGGGAACGAUGCGUAGACGACCUGGGAGGGUGGUCGGCCGCACUGGAACGGAGACGCGGUCCAGGCUCCUGCGGGACGCAGCAGUAGGGAAUCUUCCGCAAUGGGCGAAAGCCUGACACAGCAAGGCGGCGUGAGUGAUGGAGGUCUUCGGAUCGUAAAGCUCUGUUAUUAGUGAAAAACAAAUGUGUAAGUGAAUGUGCACGUCUUGACGGUACCUAGUCAGAAAGCCACGGCUAACUACGUG